rnacentral:rRNA from 1 species
GGUCAAGUUGUCAAGGGCGAACGGUGAAUGCCUUGGCACCAGGAGCCGAUGAAGGACGUGGGAGGCCGCGAUAGGCCUGGGGGAGCUGUCAACCAAGCUGUGAUCCCAGGGUGUCCGAAUGGGGAAACCUGGCACCAGUCAUGUGGUGUCACCCACACCUGAACACAUAGGGUGUGUGGAGGGAACGCGGGGAAGUGAAACAUCUCAGUACCCGUAGGAAGAGAAAACAAUUUAGUGAUUCCGUGAGUAGUGGCGAGCGAAAGCGGAUUGAGGCUAAACCGGCUGCGUGUGAUACCUGUCAGGGGUUGCGUGGUUGGGGUUGUGGGACCCUGCUGAACAAGCUGACACUUGUUCGAGAAGUUACAAAGUUGGUGGCUAGUCGAACAGUCUGGAAUGGCUGACCGUAGACGGUGAAAGUCCGGUAGGUGAAAGUUGCUGACCUUCUGUGGGUGUUCCCGAGUAGCGGCGGACCCCUGAAAUCUGCCGUGAAUCUGCCAGGACCACCUGGUAAGCCUAAAUACUUCCUGGUGACCGAUAGCGGACGAGUACCGUGAGGGAAUGGUGAAAAGUACCCCGGGAGGGGAGUGAAAUAGUACCUGAAACCGUUCGCCUACAAUCCGUCGGAGCCUUGCGGGGUGACGGCGUGCCUUUUGAAGAAUGAGCCUGCGAGUUAGUGGCAUGUGGCGAGGUUAACCCGUGUGGGGGAGCCGUAGCGAAAGCGAGUCUGAAUAGGGCGAUUCAGUCGCGUGUCCUAGACCCGAAGCGGAGUGAUCUAGCCAUGGGCAGGCUGAAGCGCGGGUAAGACCGCGUGGAGGGCCGAACCCACCAACGUUGAAAAGUUGGGGGAUGACCUGUGGUUAGGGGUGAAAGGCCAAUCAAACUCCGUGAUAGCUGGUUCUCCCCGAAAUGCAUUUAGGUGCAGCGUCGCGUGUUUCUUGCCGGAGGUAGAGCACUGGAUGGUCUAGGGGGCCCACAAGCUUACCGAAAUCAGCCAAACUCCGAAUGCCGGUAAGUGAGAGCGCGGCAGUGAGACUGCGGGGGAUAAGCUUCGUAGUCGAGAGGGAAACAGCCCAGAUCACCAGCUAAGGCCCCUAAGCGUGUGCUAAGUGGAAAAGGAUGUGGGGUCGCAUAGACAACCAGGAGGUUGGCUUAGAAGCAGCCACCCUUUAAAGAGUGCGUAAUAGCUCACUGGUCAAGUGGUUCCGCGCCGACAAUGUAGCGGGGCUCAAGCACACCGCCGAAGCUGUGGCAUUCACAUUUCAACCUCGCUUGGACUUGAUUCCUUGUGCAGGUGUGUGGAUGGGUAGGGGAGCGUCGUGCCGCGAGUGAAGCAGCGGGGUGACCCAGUUGUGGACGCGGCACGAGUGAGAAUGCAGGCAUGAGUAGCGUAAGAAGGGUGAGAAACCCUUCCGCCGGAUGACCAAGGGUUCCAGGGCCAGGCUAAUCCGCCCUGGGUGAGUCGGGACCUAAGGCGAGGCCGAGAGGCGUAGUCGAUGGACAACGGGUUGAUAUUCCCGUACCCGCGAAAGAGCGUCCCUGAUGAACCUCGUUGUGCUAACCACCCGAACUGCUGAGGGUCUUCGGAUCUGAUGUGGGGAGCGUGGGAACCUGGCGGGUAGUAGUCAAGCGAUGGGGUGACGCAGGAAGGUAGCUGAGCCCGGCCGGUGGUUGUGCCGGGGUAAGCGUGUAGGCCGUGUUGUAGGCAAAUCCGCAACACAUGAAGGCUGAGACGUGAUGCCGAGCCGAUUCAGGUGAAGUCAGUGAUCCUAUGCUGCCGAGAAAAGCCUCUAGCGAGUUCUUAGCGGCCCGUACCCCAAACCGACACAGGUGGUCAGGUAGAGAAUACCGAGGCGAUCGGGCGAACUGUGGUUAAGGAACUCGGCAAAUUGCCCCCGUAACUUAGGGAGAAGGGGGGCCGGAGACGUGAAGCCC